GAAAUGCGAUAAGUCAUGUGAAUUGCAGAAUUCAGUGAAUCAUCGAAUCUUUGAACGCACAUUGCGCUCGCCAGUAUUCUGGCGAGCAUGCCUGUUCGAGCGUCAUUUCAACCAUCAAGCUCUGCUUGCGUUGGGGAUCCGCGGCUGCCCGCGGUCCCUCAAAAACAGUGGCGGGCUCGCUAGUCACACCGAGCGUAGUAACUCUACAUCGCUAUGGUCGUGCGGCGGGUUCUUGCCGUAAAACCCCCAAUUUCUAAGGUUGACCUCGGAUCAGGUAGGAAUACCCGCUGAACUUAAGC
rnacentral:misc_RNA from 1 species